rnacentral:rRNA from 1 species
CCUACGGGUGGCAGCAGUGGGGGAUAUUGCACAAUGGCGGGAACCCUGAUGCAGCGACGCCGCGUGAGUGAAGAAGCGCCUCGGCGCGUAAAGCCCUUUCAGCAGGGAAGAAAAUGACGGUACCUGAAGAAGACGCCCCGGCUAACUACGUGCCAGCAGCCUCGGUAAUUCGGAGGGGGCACGCGUUAUCCGGAUUUACUGGGUGUAAAGGGGGCGCAGGCGGGGAUGCAGGCCAGGAGGGAAAGCCCGGGGCCCAACCGCGGGACUGCUAUUGAAACUGCGUGGCUGGAGUGCAGGAGGGGUAGGCGGAAUGCGUGGUGUAGCGGUGAAAUGCGUAGAUAUCA